UCUCAUAGCCUGCUUCCAUGAAACAAUCCAAGUGCGUGAAAACUAAAGAUUACAUGUGUUACUGCAAUCCAAGAACAUAGUGGUAUGGUUCUUACUCCUUUACGACCAAUAAGAUCGGCAAUACGUCCACUUGUAAUCGCACCAAUCAUUGCACCAAUUGUUAAUAUUGAACCAAAAACUGAGUACUGCAAUUUGGAUUGAAAGCAUAAGUCAAGUUGUAGCGGAGAUUAAUUAUUUUUAACCAGACAUAGAACUCUUUAUCUUGCUAAAUUGCAGACUCUGAUCCGAUCCACAUCAGCCUGAAUUUGGUGCAAACUAAUUACAACACGGAUCCUAACAUACUCGGACCCGACUUGAAGAUCCAAUAUAUUUUUGUUACCUGAAUCUGCAUACAAUCACAUGAUUCCAUCCUCUGUCAGAAUGGCUAAGGAACAAAAUUUAAAUCGGAACCCUAAUCGGUUUCGGUUUGGAUUUAUUAAAACCUGGACCCGACCCGAUAGUGCAACUAGAUUUAUAAUGCGAAAUGUCAACAUUCUGUAUAUAUAUGCACCUCAUCAUUGAGAUCUGGCCGACAUUUGGGCAGUGAUAAUAAUAGUUCAUGCCUUACAGCUACUAUAGAUCUGUUUCCACCAGCGUCCUUGGACACACUAAAAUGGUGGGUCCUAUGGUUUGGUGUUGUUUAGCUGCUGUUUUUGUUGGAAUUUGGAACCAUCUGCGGCUGCGAGGGGACCAUGUCCUACAUCUAGUACUACCGGUGCACCACCAUGGCCCAUGACACGCUCCUGAAAUCUCUCUGUCUCUCUCUCUCUCGCCCAAGAUUCCCAAUGGUAUCGUUUUGCCUCGCGUGGGAAAAAAUAGUCUUUUUUUGAAAGGACGCCACGAUGUCUGGGACUCUCAUAGCCCUCACCGUAUAUAACAAGGGUUUUGAAACGGCUCCAUCGCAUGAUAUUUUAAUAAAAACUUUUGUUUGGUUUGUUAAUUUAUUGUAAUGAUUAUUAUACAAUAAUUACUGUUUUCAAAAUUAUAUUUUCUAAUCAAAUACAAAAAAAAAAAAAUGUUUUGAAUUUAGAUAAUUGUAUCAGCUUGAAAGAGUAGCUACUCAUGCAAUCAACAGUUAAAAAAUAAUUUUUUAUUCAAUCAAUUGUGAUUUGAAUACAAGGUGUCAUCCUUUUUUUUUUUAAG